rnacentral:rRNA from 1 species
GCCGUAGGUGGCGAUCGUUAUCCGGAUUUACUGGGCGUAAAGCGCGUGCAGGCGGUUUGGUAAGUCGGGCGUGAAAUCUCCUGGCUCAACUGGGAGGGGUCGUCCGAAACUACCAGACUUGAGGGCAGUAGAGGGAGGUGGAAUUCCGGGUGUAGUGGUGAAAUGCGUAGAUAUCCGGAGGAACACCGGUGGCGAAAGCGGCCUCCUGGGCUGCCCCUGACGCUCAGACGCGAAAGCUAGGGGAGCGAACGGG